UUGGUGCUGUGUGGGGGUGGUGGUACUUGUGAAGGUGGUGGUGACAUUGGUGCUGUGUGGGGGUGUUGGUGCUUGUGAAGGUGGUGGUGACAUUGGUGCUGUGUGGGGGUGUUGGUACUUGUGAAGGUGGUGGGGACAUUGGUGCUGUGUGGGGGUGUUGGUACUUGUGAAGGUGGUGGUGACAUUGGUGCUGUGUGGGGGUGUUGGUACUUGUGAAGGUGGUGGUGACAUUGGUGCUGUGUGGGGGUGUUGGUGCUUGUGAAGGUGGUGGUGACAUUGGUGCUGUGUGGGGGUGUUGGUGCUUGUGAAGGUGGUGGUGACA